AAUCUUAGACUCAGCAGGCUUAGCAAUGUCCAGAAAAAGCCCUGCAAACGCCUCUGUGUCGCCAAUAUCAAAUGAAUAUGUGGGUCAUCUGAACUGCUAGCUGCUGAUGAGCUCUCUGAGCACGUGGCCCACUGUUUCACUGCUACCUUGAAGGUGAAGACCUGACUGCCCAGAGGCCAGCUGAGAAGACCACGGAGCCCCACACUCAGAGCUGGAAGAGGAAGGUCACACAGAAACACACGCCGCCCGCCACGUCCUGCCAAUCGGUCCAAAUGGAGCUCCUUCUUAACUCUCUGAAUUACAGAAAGCUUGUAGAAGACACCUGGAUUCUCAUAUCUGCUUUUGCAUUCAAUUUGUUUCAAUCACAUGUCUGGAAAACUCUACUGUACAUGAAAGAGAAUGUCUCUACAUGUGAGAGAAUGAGGGUAGGUGAAAAAGGCAAAUGAUGCCACAUUACAACGAAAGUAGUUUGGGCCUUGUGGAAUUCCUGAAAGGGUCUUAAGGAUUCCUGCCCCCUGAACACCUGGACCACACUUUGAGAAGCACUGUGUUACUGGAAACGAGGAAUGAAAGUGUUUCCCCACACUUUAUUCUAGAGGAAACGGAAGCUAGGUUUCUUCCAUUGCUAAUAAUUCUGGCGCUGAGUUUAAAGGCCACCAAAAUCUAUUUGAACAAGGAAGAUCAAGUUUGAGGCCAGAGUGCUAGUGCCUGAGAUAUGGGGAGGGGCUUCACUAAGACGAGAAAAAGAUUCACCCAGGAUGGAGAGGGCUGUUUUCAGAGCACCCGGGACUCAGGCCCUUUUUGGGGGGCAGCCCACAGGAGGAAGCAAGACCCUCGGAAGAACAGCCGUCCCCGGCUCCCGGCGUGUUCGUGCGGAUCGGGAGGAGCGGUGUCCUGAGAGUGAGCUGGGGGACACAGAGCACAGAGGACUUCCAGACUUCAAAAUCCUUUGGCAAGGGGUAGGACACUGGCCCUGGACGCAACUCCGAGGAUAAAUGCAGCACCAGGAGUUACUCAAGUUCAAGCUCCCUUCAGGAGUGCUGUCGCAAGCAGAAAAUUUAAGGAGGCAAAGAAAUGUGGUAUUUCUUCCACACUGGAGACCAGGGACUGAGGGUCCUACUCACUUCUCUUGUAUCUGUCUUGCCUACCUUGGGAAGCCCCAGCAAGCCAGGCAUUCGUCCCUGCCACGUGUGCAGCACACAGCCCACUCUGAGGCCUCCGUGAGAGCUAAAUGGCUCAGCCAGUCAGCCUAGCUUAUCUGGGCUCAAAGAUGCCACAAGAGGUGAAAAAGAGAAAAUGGAAUAGUUACCUUCCAAGGGUCAAGCUCUCAGCACCCGGGGUCACUUAGCCAGGAGCUGUGCUGUGGGCUUACACUGGAUAUGGCAGGCAGCUCAUCUUCCUCUAAACCUCAGUGUCCUCAUCUGUAAGUUGGAGAAGCCUUCGUACGCUCUCGGCUUGGUGUAAGGAUCAGCUGAACUCGUUCAUGGAAAAACACCUCACAUAGUCUGGUAUCUAGAACAAAGUAACGGCUCACCUGCUUUUCCUUGACCCCACUCACCCGGGGCUCCUGCAGGGCAUCCGCCCCGCGCCCCCCCCGGGUCAGAGCGCCUUACGAUUUCUCACAGUCCCCCUCUGCCUCUGCUGCGUGCCGCCGCUGUGAUUCUACACGGCUCUGUGGGGCUCCUCUCCUGCCUCAGCAGAAGCUCCACGAGCGCAGGAAGAACGCCCUGGCUUUCCUUCUCUCCACUGCAGUCCCUGUGUCAAGCACGGCGUUUGGUACUUCACGGGCAUGCAGUGCUGGGGCGAAGAAAGGAAGGGACACGGAAUGCAUACUUAUUAUUAGUUCAGAAAAACUCCGCUCUGUGGUUUGGGAAUACGAUGGAAGAUUAGAAUUCAAGAAUCUGAGAUUCAAAGGGAAAAUGAAGAGACAGGAGAAAACAUACAACCUUAAGGAAGCAAAGAAUACAGGCUUCAGGAAGGCACAACACACCCAUCAGAGCCCUUGUGGGCCCCCGAGUAGGAGAAC